UACGGAGGGUGCGAGCGUUGUCCGGAAUCACUGGGCGUAAAGGGCGCGUAGGCGGCGCGGAUAGUCGGCGGUGAAAGCCCGGAGCUCAACUCCGGGUCGGCCGUCGAUACUUCCGGGCUUGAGCACUGUAGAGGCAGAUGGAAUUCCCGGUGUAGCGGUGAAAUGCGCAGAUAUCGGGAGGAACACCGGUGGCGAAGGCGGUUCUCUGGGCCUGUACUGACGCUGAGGAGCGAAAGCGUGGGGAGCGAACAGG
rnacentral:rRNA from 1 species